GCUGAACAAACUAGCUGCUGGGCAGCAGCCGAAAAGGUUUUGGGUUCAAAUCCCAAUGUCGGCA